UAUAUGCUGCGCGGUCGGUCUGGAGUAGUUCCAGGUGCGGCCGCCUGGACUGCGACUAGCGCUACGGAAAAAUUGCAGGCGCUCUCUCCCGCCAAUAGUUCCAUGGCGUAACCGCAAUUAUCGCGGCAGGCCCCUUAGAAUUUUAGGACCACGCGCAUGCACGCGCGACAGUGCACUACGACUUUGUAUCAUUUGCAGGUUUUUUGCAAAAUUACAAUCACUGUAUAGUCGUGAGUGUUUUGUGCAUGUGAUCAGACGGAGGAAAAAGCAGAUUUUCAUUCAAAGACAUAGUUAACAUCAGGAUUAAUACGUCUACUGACUUAGCCAUCGUCGAAAAUAUCCAAAUAAUUGAUUGUACCUCUAAUCUAAUGAAGAUAAAGUUCUUAGAGACUGUCCGUCGAAUUUGCAAUCCAGACUUCUACAUGGAACAGCAUCAGAAGCUGAAAUUAUCAGUUAUGUUUACCAUGUAUUGAGGCAAUACCCUGAAGGAGAAUUUAGUUGCAUUAUUUAUAUUUUGAAAACAUAAAAAUAGCAGAUCCAAACUGCUUGAAAAGAAUGGAAGGCUUUACUUCUCUACAUCGACAGUGGCAAAAGUUCUCAUACUACACGAAGUGCGACGAACUCAGAGUUGGAGUCCAGAGAGGUUUAUCGCUUUAGCUGAUGAUUGUGCCCAACUCUUUGAAGGAACGCUGAAAGAAGGAUUCUAUACGAGAUCAACCUCAGAUCAUUCUGCUGCUGGAACUCUUAAAGACAGUACGAAUAUCUUAGGGAUAAGGCAAUAGCAGUCAGUUUGAUCGAACCUACUCGAGCUCAACAUUGUUCUCAUAGAAAAAGACUAUUCGAAAGAGUUUGCAGAGCUGUAAGAAAGCGUACAACUCAUAGAUGCAACAUACAUAAGCAAAUGGAAUAGUACAGCUGUGAAUAAACGUAAACUGUUAUAUAAAAUGAUCAAACUGCGAUUUUCGCAUGUUCCCAAAUCUUACGAAUCCUGCAGGAUAUAUUUUAGUAUGUAUAUAUUCUCACAUUAAAAUUAAAUUUAUUGUCACAAAAUUUAUUAUUAACGAAACUAAUGAUUUUUGUGAAGGUAGAACGAGAUUUUCAUGCGUUUUUUGGGAAGCUUAACGACAUAUUCGAGAAUAAUUGGCCAUCAACUGAUGCUAAAAUUAUUAAAUUAGCUCAGAAUAAGAAAAGAGAUGGUCUCAUUAAAGACAUUUUUAAAGUAAAUCCAAAUUUUAUAUAAAAAGGUAAUUCUAAUAUUUUUAUUAUAGCAUGCCAGUCAAGAAUUGUCUCUUCACAGAAGUAAACUGUGAGAUUUUCGAUUGACUUUCUAUCUUAGGUCAUCGUUCUUGAGAAAGUUGAUAAAUUCUUCAAUAGCAAUUUAUAUGCAUAAUAA